GGCAGGGCUGAGGAUGGAGGGGUGUGCCCUGCUUGGAGGGGGAGAACAGCACAUUUGGGCUACCAGCAAACCUUGUGCAAUUUUUUUUUUUUUCUGCUUGUCCUCCAGUUAGGCAGGGAAUCUCAUUCUGCUGCUUUGAAAGUAAUCUCUGGAAUAUUCACCAGGGAUGGAUUUGUUGAUUGUAAAAUUAAAGGAGGCUUUGGGAUUAGGGAUUCUGACCUCUGAUCUAGCUCUUCCUGAGGCUGCAGGUUCCUUGACGUGCCAGCAGCUGGGAUUGCUAGUCCACCAGGACAGCAGUGUCUGGCUACAAACUUCACUUGGGUUGUAAGAUAAGGACAAGCUUUGAUCCUCAGGAGGAAGCUCCACCAGCUAUGCAGCCACCUUAUCCUUGUGUGUCACCAUCUGCCAUGGGCUCACAGGGCUCCUCAGCCCCAGGAGGGGCCCAGGUGCUGGUGUCAUCCCUGAUCCCUCAGCGAUGGGAGCCAGGCUUUCCUGCAGCCCCAGGCAAUGCACACAGAGAUGCCUCCCAGCGACAGAGCAGUGCCAAAUCAGACUCAGUGCCACAAACAGGGCCUAGAACAAAUGGUUGGCUGCCCAUGAACUGCUCAGAGGAAAAGGCAGCAGCAGGAUAAGGUUAUUAUGUGGAUUGGAUCCUGCCCUCAAGGCCACAGCUGGCCCAGGCACAGCCAGAGAACACAGCCAGCAUUGUCCAUCCUUCAGUCCACAGCCACCAUGCAGAACACACGUUGUCUGAACUAAUGGGUCUUCACAGGAUCCUUCUGGUUGAGAGAUGAUAUCAGAGAUUGUAUCUGUGUCCACUUUAGGCCUGGGAUGUUGCUAAGAGAAAAACAAUUCUUGGCAAAUUCCUGGAAGUGCUUGCCUCCUACAGUUUGGAUGAAGACAGUUUGUUCAAGAACCAUGGGAAUGGCACCGGAUUAGCAACUGUGUGGCCAAGCUCCUGUGACAUAAGUAACAUCAUUCCCACAGUGAACACAAAGCAUCAUUAAAGCAAACUUCUGACAAAAAGAGUGAUGAGGUGGUGCACAGGCCUGACAGCACUGACAGUGGGAUCACAACUUGGGUUUUUCCCUAUGCCUGGUUUCCCAAGGUAAGCAUGGGUAGGUGUUUGUCCUCAUCUUUUGGUACUGAUUGUUACGGAACUACAAAAUUUUGCCCUAAAUUAGAUUCAAAACUACAAGAAGGGACUGAUUUUAAAUUUUAAUUUUAAAAAAAUCACCAAAAUGCCAUUCAAACUUCCAGUUUGGGCAUAUCCUGCUCUUGACACAUUCUGUGGGCUUGAUACUCCAGUGAAGUUAAAGUUUUCCUUGCACAAACUGUCUUUCUACUCCUCAGGGAUGUUCUGUGCACACAGGCUGGCCAGGGAACCUGCAAAAGCAUCACAAACCCAUUCAUCAGCCAGCUACAUCCAAGGGAUUCCUAAAGCAGCCUUAAAUCAACAUUUUAUGUCUCUGUAUGAUGUUUCUGCAUUCUAGUCAACUUCCAUAAGUGUUUUGGUUUUGUUUUCUGUGGGGAUGAUUUUUUUUGUUGUUGUUGAUUGGUUGGAUUUUGUUGAUUUUCUUUUCUCCCUUAUUCAAGGACCUGAGAAUUGCUGACCACUUCUCCUUAGUUAAUGAGGUUAUUUUCUGUUUUCAAGACAUUACACUUUUAUAAAAGCAUUCUUGUUAAGAUAAAUACUGUUAGGUGGGGUUGUUUGUUUUCAAAAACUCCUUGAGUGCUUUACAAGAGAAGAACAGUGUGUUUCCACUAACAUCUACAAAGCAUUUGCUAAUAGCACAUGAAUCACAGCUUAUCCAUUAAAAACAUUUUCUUAAUGUACUUUUAGCUGACUGCAAAGGUGGUUUAGGGAUAUUUAAAGAGAAUUAUCCCUUUUACCAAAUACUACAAGUCCUAGUUUUUAACUAGGCUGUUCUGUAGUGAAUGGGGAGAGAAGCCUUUCCAGAAGCUGGUCCACCUCACUCCAGCGCAGGUUUCUAGGGGGUCUUACUCUUGCUUGGGAUCUUUCACUCCCUGGGCAUUACAGAGGGCCCUGGACAGCCAGGCUGGAUUAUAACCUGAUCUCAGAGGUGGCCCUGGUGUCAGGAGAUGACUUCUGCAAACUCCCUCUGAGCAUGUUUGCAUGUGCAUGUAGGAUCUCACUGACCCUCGGACAUUCCCCAAGGAUGAAGCAGAAUCCCCUGAACUCAACCAGAAACCUUCCUUGAGGAGGAUUUGAGCGUUCCUGAAAUGAACAUAGAGAAUAAUACAAAUGAAUCAGAGAUCUGUGGGAUAAUAAUCUAAAUUAUUAUCACGUCUUCUCUUGCCAGACCAGGAUAUUCUCUAUUUCAGCCUUGUGUGUCUGAUAAAAAUAUCUUUAAUAAAACAUUCCACAUGAUCUGUGGUUAACAGGCAACCACCAGCUCGGCUGUUCAUACCUCUCUUUUUUGCUUCUGUGUAUGGGAUUGUUUUAAAAACUUGGAAGACUCCAGGUACGUUUUAGCCAAAUGACCUGCGGUAUCAUAUUCAUGAGCUUGUUCUUUUGAUCAGAUAAUAGGGCACUUUUUCAAAUCAGUGCAUUACUCAUACAUUGUCUUACUAUCAUUAGAAUGUGUAAAACUUUCCCCAAAAAAUGGGGCCUCAGGCACAGGCUUUUGCACAGAUUCUACUGAAUGCAAUUACAUGAUCCAAGCCCUCUAAGCUGGGGGUGUGCUGAACCACCUUGAUGGUUUGGGAGUGUUUUAAAGCUGAAAAAUAAAAGAAACACACAAA